UACGUAGGGCGCAAGCGUUAUCCGGAAUUAUUGGGCGUAAAGAGCUCGUAGGCGGUUUGUCGCGUCUGCCGUGAAAGUCCGGGCUCAACUCCGGAUCUGCGGUGGGUACGGGCAGACUAGAGUGAUGUAGGGGAGACUGGAAUUCCUGGUGUAGCGGUGAAAUGCGUAGAUAUCAGGAGGAACACCGGUGGCGAAGGCGGACUUCUGGACAGAUACCGACGCUGAGGCACGAAAGCUAGGGGAGCAAACAGG
rnacentral:rRNA from 1 species